rnacentral:rRNA from 1 species
GACGAAUGCUGGCUGCGUGCUUAACACAUGCAAGUCGAACGGUGAAGGGGAGCUUGCUCCCCGGAUCAGUGGCGAACGGGUGAGUAACACGUGGGCAACCUGCCCCUCACUCUGGGAUAACUCCGGGAAACCGGGGCUAAUACCGGAUACGACCGGGAGCGACAUCGCUCCUGGUGGAAAGAACUUCGGUGAGGGAUGGGCCCGCGGCCUAUCAGCUAGUUGGUGGGGUAACGGCCCACCAAGGCGACGACGGGUAGCCGGCCUGAGAGGGCGACCGGCCACACUGGGACUGAGACACGGCCCAGACUCCUACGGGAGGCAGCAGUGGGGAAUAUUGCGCAAUGGGCGAAAGCCUGACGCAGCGACGCAGCGUGAGGGACGAAGGCCUUCGGGUUGUAAACCUCUUUUAGCAGGGAAGAAGCGAAAGUGACGGUACCUGCAGAAAAAGCGCCGGCUAACUACGUGCCAGCAGCCGCGGUAACAC